GAGUUUGAUCGUGGCUCAGAGCGAACGCUGGCGGCAGGCCUAACACAUGCAAGUCGAGCGCCCCGCAAGGGGAGCGGCAGACGGGAGAGUAACACGUGGGAACGUACCCUUUGGUCCGGAACAACCCAGGGAAACUUGGGCUAAUACCGGAUAAGCCCUUACGGGGAAAGAUUUAUCGCCGAAGGAUCGGCCCGCGUCUGAUUAGCUAGUUGGUGGGGUAACGGCCCACCAAGGCGACGAUCAGUAGCUGGUCUGAGAGGAUGAUCAGCCUCACUGGGACUGAGACGCGGCCCAGACUCCUACGGGAGGCAGCAGUGGGGAAUAUUGGACAAUGGGCGCAAGCCUGAUCCAGCCAUGCCGCGUGGGUGAUGAAGGCCCUAGGGUUGUAAAGCCCUUUCGGCGGGGAAGAUAAUGACGGUACCCGCAGAAGAAGCCCCGGCUAACUUCGUGCCAGCAGCCG
rnacentral:rRNA from 1 species